ACAACUGUUUCAUAUUUUAUUUCCACACUUAAAUUUGCGCUUGUUAAAUGAAACCCCAUUGUCAAGUUGGCGUGUAUUCCUGCUGCCUCCUCAGGUCCUGCUUCAGAGCUUGCUGUUUGCAUUUGGGUGUCCUGCUCGUAACCCUUCAGUGAGGAACAGGGAAGACAAAAUCAUUGAAACCAUACUUUACUGAAAAUCCUAGAAGAAUAAAUUGGAACAGAACGACCUUGGGGCACUUGGAAGGACAUGGCCAUCCUGAACUGGGGACACCAUCCAAGCUACCGUGCUGGCACUGACCACCACUGCAGAGAAACUUCGAUCAGGACUCUCACGCUGACAAAUGAGGAGCAGGGAAGAAACCCAGGAUGCUGUGAAUGGUAGUGCCUGAAGGAAACCCCAGGCAGCACAGCACAGAGAGGAAGAUUGCUAUGGUUAUUUUAAUGUUUGCUUCAUGCAGCUUUUGUCACUCCAGACAAGGAAUGAUUUUUGGGUUCGGUUGUUCAUCCAAAGUUCUGUCAAAGACUCUGCAGACACUUGAAUUAUUCAGCAGGUCCUAUCAGGGCAGGGUACAUUUUGUCACUGCCCUUAUUUCAAAACCAGUUUUUACUUGGGAGAGUAUCUGUGUUGAUGAUGGGAAGCUGAGAUACACAGGCACGUUUUCAUUCAUUUAAAUUCACCAGCAGAGACUCUGGCUUGCAGUGUAAGUUCUUUUCCAGUGUAAGCAUCUUGGACCCACAUGUAUCUUUGCUUCUGGCUUCAGGCUGGUGGAUGGAAAGAAGAACUGAAGAUGUGCUGAAGGCAAGAGUCUGUGUCUGAGAACACGGAAAAUAGCACAAUCUGGGCUGUGUCUUUUCGUGUGACAUAAGAGACUGUACCAAUACCGAUCCAGAACCUUGAGCAAUAUUGUCCUGUGGUUUGAUUUCCAUUCUAGCAUGCUAAAUGAAGUAAGGCCCAGGUUUUUCAUGCCACUUUCCAUUUUUGAUUUAGGAAAUUUGAAAAAUACUUGUCUUGAGGCUGUGCCUGAAGUUAUUAUCUUGGCAUAUCCAUACCAUAAAGUUCCCGUGGAUAAAAGCAGAAACAUCUGGAUUCAUGAGUGGAUGUUGGCUAAAUCCAGCAGACAAAAAAAAAAAAAAAAGAAGCCUUCAAGGGAUCCUAGAGUGUUCUAGCCAGAAUAAAUAAUACAACAAAAUAAUAGUGUUAUUAAGAGUAAUUGCAAUACUGAAGCUGAAAUAUAAGAUGAGGGCCAAGCCUUUUUCACAGUCUGCUUUUCCAGCUAAAAGUCCUUCAAUUUACACUUAACACACGUGGCUGAUGGAACAAAGAGAAAAAAUGAAGAAGGAUGAAAGCAAUGCAGAGAUUAUUCCGCCUUGCUGGUUUAGCUCCAGGCACAUCAUUUAAAUGAGUAGAUGAUCAGUUUCCAGUUUGUUUUAAUUCUCUGGCAAGAAAUUUUAUGCUCUAUCCCAAAGUUAGAUGUGCUUGAAACUUUUUUUAAGGCUCUGCCAUUUUGUUUUAUUUCUUAAGGCAAGACUCUGGAAGUGUUCUGCAGGAGUCACCUCCCUGCUGGGACUGGAGGGGCAGCCUGGCUGUGUCAUUGACGGGGCUGUGUCCCUGCUCUCAACCUUUGGGGACCCUGUGACAUGGGAACAGUUGCUCCUUUUCUCCCUCAUCCCUGAGAGACUGAGCCAGAUGUUAUAUCUGAGCUCAGUAGCACCCACUGUCAAGGAAAGUGUCCAAAACCAUUGUGUCCCAAAUACUUGCAGCAUCUUUGGCUGCACGCUCUUGUACCAGCACCACAUGCCUCUUUUACAGCUAGUGAAAGACUUGUGCUGCUUGCUCCUUGCAUCUCCCCUUGGAAUUUUCAGGGUUAAUAGCUGCUGAACAGCACACCCUCUCACCACCCAGCCCCUCCUGCAUAGGUCUCCUCCACCUACCUUACCACGAGUUUCUAAAGCCAAUAUGAGCCCAGCCUGUACAGCGUAUCUUCCCCUGCUGUGAUAGAGUAAACUAAACCCACAGCCAGGUGUUUAAAAAAUCUGUACUACUGAUCCUUGCUGACCUUGCAGAUUCCUGGAAAGCCUCAGCCAUUUGCCCAAUCUGUAACCUUCAGCCAAUGCAGCUUGGGAGGUCAGACCACUCCCCAGUGCGGAGAGAGACAGAAACUUGCUGACAGCAACUGGAGUUGUUUCCAAAGAUGACCUGCCCAUCACAGCCAGCAUGAAACCAACACCCUCAGUGCCAGGAAUGUCUGCAGAACAUGAAUGCAUCGUCCAGAACAGGAUCAUCUUUUCCCUAGGGAAAGAAAUUGUUGAUGUAAUGUGUUUGUAGCAAAUAAAUUUAGAGGGAAUAGGCUCUAGCCUGUGACUUGACGAUCACACAGCUAAUGCUGUUGGUGUCUUUGAUUGCCCCAGAUGUGAAGGGUAGGGUCACUGAGAGCUUUGAGAGACACUUUGGAGGCUGGAAAUCACUCGUAGGACCUGCUCCUGGGCACAGUAGAGGAUAGACCUUUGAUUUAGAGGUAUUAGAGCUGGGUGCCUCCCAUUGCUCAUCAGACCGCAGCCCUGUUUCUCCCUACCUGCCACAGCAAAUAUUUUGUUUGCAUGAGCCAAAGCAAUCGUGUUGUGUACUUUAUCACAUGCAAUCCCCAAGGCACACUGCUGAUAACCAUUAAACUCACUUCAGACCUGCGGUCCGCCCUCUGGAGUGCUGCCACCAACCACGGUGGCACUAGGUAGAACCAUUUGCCCCAGGGCAUGCCCCGAUCCUCCUAAAGGAGACUGAAAUGAGACAGUUGUGCUUCAGGGUAAGCCAGCUUGCACGGUGGUAGUUUCUUGGACCACUGCAACAACUAUGUCCCCUCCCCAUAUUGGGGGAAAGUGGAGUGACAAUUUUAACAAAUGGUAAUGUUACUAUUGAAGUUAUGCCUUUAAAGAUCCCAUAAUACCCAAUUCAUCCAGCUAGGUGGGAUUCAGCAGUGAGCUGAUUUAUGGCAUA